rnacentral:rRNA from 1 species
AAGCUCGUAGUUGAAAUUGUGUCCCGCGGCGUCGGUCUACCGAUUGCGGUACGACAGGCGCGUCAGCGGGGCUUCUCGCCGGUGCGUGUUCUCCGCCGCGCGCGUUAUUCGUUGUCGUUCGCCGUCAAAAGCGGCGGCUUCGAGUUCGUCGCGGCGGGCCCUCGCGGCUGUUUACUUUGAACAAAUUAGAGUGCUCAAAGCGGGCUAAUAUUUGCCUGAAUAUUGUGCGCAUGGAAUAAUAGAAUAGGACCUCGGUUCAAUUUUGUUGGCUUUCUGAUACCAGAGGUAAUGAUUAAUAGGGACAACUGGGGGCAUUCGUAUUGCGACGUUAGAGGUGAAAUUCUUGGAUCGUAGCAAGACGGACUAAAGCGAAAGCAUUUGCCAAAGGUGUUUUCAUUAAUCAAGAACGAAAGUUAGAGGUUCGAAGGCGAUUAGAUACCGCUGUAGUUCUAACCAUAAAUGAUGCCAGCCAGCGAUCCGCCGAAGUUAUUUUAUUUGAUUCGGUGGGCAGCUCCCGGGAAACCAA